CUACGGGAGGCAGCAGUGGGGAAUCUUGGACAAUGGGCGCAAGCCUGAUCCAGCCAUGCCGCGUGAGUGAAGAAGGCCUUAGGGUCGUAAAGCUCUUUCGCCAGAGAUGAUAAUGACAGUAUCUGGUAAAGAAACCCCGGCUAACUCCGUGCCAGCAGCCGCGGUGGAAUACGGAGGGGGUUAGCGUUGUUCGGAAUUACUGGGCGUAAAGCGCGCGUAGGCGGAUUAGUCAGUCAGAGGUGAAAUCCCAGGGCUCAACCCUGGAACUGCCUUUGAUACUGCUAGUCUUGAGUUCGAGAGAGGUGAGUGGAAUUCCGAGUGUAGAGGUGAAAUUCGUAGAUAUUCGGAGGAACACCAGUGGCGAAGGCGGCUCACUGGCUCGAUACUGACGCUGAGGUGCGAAAGUGUGGGGAGCAAACAGGAUUAGAUACCCUGGUAGUC
rnacentral:rRNA from 1 species